GGUCAUGGCUCAGGAUGAACGCUAGCGGCAGGCUUAACACAUGCAAGUCGAGGGGCAGCAUAAUGGAUAGCAAUAUCUAUGGUGGCGACCGGCGCACGGGUGCGUAACGCGUAUGCAACCUACCUUUAACAGGGGGAUAACACUGAGAAAUUGGUACUAAUACCCCAUAACAUCAUGAAAGGCAUCUUUUAUGGUUGAAAAUUCCGAUGGUUAGAGAUGGGCAUGCGUUGUAUUAG
rnacentral:rRNA from 1 species